rnacentral:rRNA from 1 species
UACGUAGGGAGCAAGCGUUGUCCGGAAUCAUUGGGCGUAAAGCGCGCGUAGGCGGCCCUGUAAGUCCGUUGUGAAAGUCAAAGGCUCAACCUUUGAAAGCCGAUGGAUACUGCAGGGCUAGAGUCCGGAAGAGGCGAGUGGAAUUCCGUGGUGUAGCGGUGGAAUGCGCAGAUAUCAGGAGGAACACCAAUAGCGAAGGCAGCUCGCUGGGACGGUACUGACGCUAAGGCGCGAAAGCGUGGGGAGCGAA